CCCUUAGAUGUCCUGGGCCGCACGCGCGCUACACUGAACGGAUCAGCGCGUUUUCCCUUCCCGAGAGGGACGGGUAACCUGCUGAACCCCGUUCGUGGUAGGGAUCGGGGCUUGCAAUUAUUCCCCGUGAACCAGGAAUGCCCAGUAAGUGCAAGUCAUAAGCUUGCGUUGAUUACGUCCCUGCCCUUUGUACACACCGCCCGUCGCUACUACCGAUUGAACGUUUUAGUGAGGUACUCGGACUGAGCCUCAGAAGAUUCACGUCUUUUGUGCUGCUCGGGAAGAUUCCCAAACUUGAGCAUUUAGAGGAAGUAAAAGUCGUAACA
rnacentral:rRNA from 1 species